rnacentral:rRNA from 1 species
AUAUGAUUUAACUCUGAUCACAUAAUUUUAUUUAUAUCGAACUCCACAGGAAACUCCUUUAAUCUUACCAAAUCCUAAUAGUAAAUAUUAUUAAACAGUUAAACUGGUAAUAGCCUUAUCUCUGACAAAACAGGUGCCAGCAAUCGCGGUUAUACCUGAAGAAAUAAAUUAUAAUUAAACUUAAGUCACAAAAUAAAAAAAAACAUUUAUUCCAUUAGUAAAAGNUACAAAAUAAAUCAAAAAAAAAAAUGACUUCAACAUCUUAAUAAUAAAAAAGGAUUAGAUACCCUAGUAUUUAAGAAAAAUUUACAAGACAAGGUAGUAAAAGUUAAAUCUAUGAAACCUAAAGAGUUUGGCAGCAUCAAAUAAUUCAAGGAGCUUGUUAUAUAAUAGUCACCACACAAUUCACCUUACCUUUUUUAUGUCUGUAUACAACCGAUCUAUUAUUUAAUAAAACUUUUUAAUAACAAAGAUAAACUUUUACCUCAGGUCACCGUACAACAUUAAAAGGUAUUAAUGAGCUACACUAUUUUUUAAUGCAAAUUGAACUUUAUAAUUAUCAUGAAGAUUGAUUGAAAAGUAAAAAUAUAAUUAAAAUGGUAUUUUGAAUUUUAUUAAAUGUGCACAAAUCGCCCGUCAUUCUCAAAAAAUUUGAGGCAAGUCGUAACAUAGUAGAACUACCUGAAGGUGGUUCUAAUCUAGC